rnacentral:rRNA from 1 species
GACGAACCGUGCGAACGUUAUUCGGAAUCACUGGGCUUAAAGCGCGUGUAGGCGGGCCGGCACGUCCGUGGCUGAAAGCCCCCGGCUCAACCGGGGAAGGGGCGCGGAUACGACCGGCCUGGAGGGGGGUAGGGGGACCUGGAACUUCCGGUGGAGCGGUGAAAUGCGUUGAGAUCGGAAGGAACGCCCGUGGCGAAAGCGAGGUCCUGGACCCUGUCUGACGCUGAGACGCGAAAGCCAGGGGAGCGAACGGG